rnacentral:rRNA from 1 species
GACGAACGCUGGCGGCGUGCUUAACACAUGCAAGUCGAGCGGACCGGCGAACGGGUGAGAAAAGCGUGAGUAACUUCCCCCCUAUCUGGGAUAACAGUUGGGAAAGGCGGCUAAUACCGGCUAGUGGGGGAUGUCUCGCGCCCUAUGAGCUUGUUGGUGGGGUAGUGGCCUACCAAGGCGAGGACGGGUACCCGGCCGGAGAGGGCGACCGUCCACAUUGGGCUGAGAUACGGCCCAGUCGCGUACGGGAGGCAGCAGUGGGGAAUAUUGCCCAAUGAGGGAAACCCUGAUGAAGAAACGCGCGGGCGGAAUGACGGCCUUCGGGUUGUAAACCGCUGUCAGCCAUGACGCGUUAGUGGCAGAAGAAGCACCGGCUAACUACGUGCCAGCAGCCGCGGUAAUAC